CCUACGGGUGGCAGCAGUGAGGAAUAUUGGUCAAUGGGCGCGAGCCUGAACCAGCCAAGUCGCGUGAGGGAGGACGGCCCUACGGGUUGUAAACCUCUUUUGACGUGGAGCAACGGGCGUCACGUGUGUCGCCACUGAGAGUACCCGGAGAAAAAGCCCCUGCUAACUACGUGCCAGCAGCCGCGGUAAUACGUAGGGGGCGAGCGUUGUCCGGAAUUACUGGGCGUAAAGAGAGAGUAGGCGGCACUACAAGUCUCAUGUGAAAUACCCGGGCUUAACUUGGGGGUUGCAUGGGAAACUGUAGAGAUUGAGUACAGGAGAGGCAAGCGGAAUUCCUAGUGUAGCGGUGAAAUGCAUAGAUAUUAGGAGGAACACCAGUGGCGAAGGCGGCUUGCUGGACUGAAACUGACGCUGAGGCUCGAAAGCGUGGGGAGCAAACAGGAUUAGAUACCCCUGUAGGC
rnacentral:rRNA from 1 species